UACAGGGGGUGCAAGCGUUGCUCGGAAUCAUUGGGCGUAAAGCGCACGUAGGCGGUCUGUUAUGUCGGAUGUGAAAGCCCUUGGCUCAACUGAGGAAGUGCAUCCGAAACUGGCAGGCUAGAGUACUAAAGAGGGUCGCGGAAUUCCCGGUGUAGAGGUGAAAUUCGUAGAUAUCGGGAGGAACACCGGUGGCGAAGGCGGCGACCUGGGUAGAUACUGACGCUGAGGUGCGAAAGCGUGGGGAGCGAACAGG
rnacentral:rRNA from 1 species